rnacentral:rRNA from 1 species
GACGAACGCUGGCGGCGUGCCUAAUACAUGCAAGUUGAACGCUUGAUUUUCACCGAAGCUUGCUUCACCGAAAAUCAAGAGUAGCGAACGGGUGAGUAACGCGUGGGUAACCUACCUAUCAGCGGGGGAUAACUAUUGGAAACGAUAGCUAAUACCGCAUAACAAUGUUGGAUGCAUAUUCGACAUUUGAAAGUACCAACUGGUACACUGAGAGAUGGACCCGCGUUGUAUUAGCUAGUUGGUAGUGUAAUGGACUACCAAGGCGAUGAUACAUAGCCGACCUGAGAGGGUGAUCGGCCACAUUGGGACUGAGACACGGCCCAAACUCCUACGGGAGGCAGCAGUAGGGAAUCUUCGGCAAAUGGACGAAAGUCUGACCGAGCAACGCCGCGUGAGUGAAGAAGGUUUCGGAUCGGUAAAACUCUAGUUGUUAGAGAAGAACGUUGCAUAGAGUGGAAAAUUAUAGCAAGUGACGGUAUCUAACCAGAAAGGGACGGCUAACUAC